rnacentral:rRNA from 1 species
AUGAACGCUGGCGGCGUGCCUAAUACCUGCAAGUCGCGCGAACAGACGAGGAGCUUGCUCCUCUGACGUUAGCGGCGGACGGGUGAGUAACACGUGGAUAACCUACCUAUAAGACUGGGAUAACUUCGGGAAACCGGAGCUAAUACCGGAUAAUAUAUUGAACCGCAUGGUUCAAUAGUGAAAGACGGUUUUGCUGUCACUUAUAGAUGGAUCCGCGCCGCAUUAGCUAGUUGGUAAGGUAACGGCUUACCAAGGCAACGAUGCGUAGCCGACCUGAGAGGGUGAUCGGCCACACUGGAACUGAGACACGGUCCAGACUCCUACGGGAGGCAGCAGUAGGGAAUCUUCCGCAAGGGGCGAAAGCCUGACGGAGCAACGCCGCGUGAGUGAUGAAGGUCUUCGGAUCGUAAAACUCUGUUAUUAGGGAAGAACAAAUGUGUAAGUAACUAUGCACGUCUUGACGGUACCUAAUCAGAAAGCCACGGCUAACUACGUG